ensembl:lncRNA
AUGAUGAGGACAGGCUGUGGAAUGAGUAAAAAAAGAUCAAGAUUCCUGGUCCCAUCAGGAAAGAAAGAGUAUCAUUCUUUCAAAAAUAGCUUACAGGAACUCAGGAAUUCUCUCAGUCAGCUUGGAAUGCCAUAACAAAAUACCCCAGAUUGGAUGGGUUAAAUAGCAGAAAUUUAUUUUCUCACAGUUCUAGAGGCUAAAAAUCUCCAGUUCCGGAAGCAUGGUUGGGUUCUAGUGAGACCCUUUGGUCUGGCUUGUAGAUGACUAUUUUUCUGGCUUGUAGAUGAUCAUUUUCUGCUGCAUGCUCACAGGGUCUUUCCUUGGCGUNNNNNNNNNNNNNNNNNNNNNNNNNNNNNNNNNNNNNNNNNNNNNNNNNNNNNNNNNNNNNNNNNNNGAUAUCUGUUGGCAAUAAUCCUAUUAGGUCAGGGUUCUACCCUUAUGACAUCAUUAACCUUAAGUAUUUUCUUAGAUGAUCCAUCUCCAGUCACACUAGGAGAUAGGGCUUCAGUUUAUGAAUUUGUAGGGGAAACAUAAACAUCCAGUCUAUUGUAGAUGUUGUUUCACUUAUGCCAGAAGGAUAAAGAAAACUAAAUAAAAUUACUUUUAAAAUUCUACCACUCAAGAGAUAAAGCAGAAACACAUUUAGAAGUAGUGCAAGAGUACACAUUUCCAAUCCACUUUCUGCCGAAUUGAGAUGAGAAAGAGCUGAAAGAGAAAAGGGACAGAUGGAAAAAAGAAAAUCAUACCCCAAUUAAUUAGAACACUGCCUUUAAAAUUAAAUAUACACAGAAAAACAAAAUAAAAUCAGAACUGAAAGUUUAUAAGUGACUUAUUCUAUCUUAUAUGAACAAGGCGUUGUUUUUUAUUUUGGUCACACCUUCUGCAUGUGGAAGUUCCAGAUUGAACCUGUGCCCUAGCAGUAACCCACUGUAAUGAAAAAGCUGGAUCCUUAACCCACUGUGCCACAAGAGAACUUCUAUGAGCAAGUCUUAAUGAAGAAUUUUUUCUAACAACUUCUGCUUUUCUUCCAUAUUGAACUGCAAACUGCUAUUUCUACUUUUCCCAGGCUGCUCAAAGUUUGAAUUUCUGUCAGAGCUGCCAUAAAAAGCCAAAGCCUGAACACACCGAAUCAGCAGUGUCAGUUCACUGUGGCCACAUUAUGAGGAAUUAGUCCUAAUGAGGUAUGACUUUGUGAAGGUGACACAGAUGGAUGAGGAGACAGCCCAUGAGUACCCACCUUGAAAGGAAGUUUCAUGCUGAGUUGUGUAUAAAGUAGAACUUUUAAAAGUCAAAUGUGGAGUAGGAUAUAAAGUACAAGAGUGCUGAAGGUCCUUGACAUUUACUGACAGAAGGCUGCAUGUAAUCUAAAUGAUAACAAUUUGUCAUUGAUGGGAUUUCAGGAAGAAAAAUAAUUGAGCACAAACAGUGAGCAUACAAAAUAAUUGUGAAUAAAGUUAAGGGCAAACUUUAGACAGAAAUGACUGAACAAGGGGAAUUUGAAAGCUAAUUAUGUGAAGGUAAGGGUAUUAUAAUGAGUUCUUUACUGAUGAUAAGAAACUAAAGGGCAAAGUUAAGGCAUGCAAAAUUAAAACAAUAAGAUUUAGAAAAUAACAGGUGGCUUAAACUGAAAUUAAGAAAAUGGUAAGCUAAUGACAUGCUGAUGAUAAGGAUAAAAUUAGAUGAUGAAGAGGUUUCAGGAAGAAAGAUCAGGUAGUACAUGCAUUUUUUUCUACUGAAUUUUGGGUACCAGAGACAAAGUUUAGAAAAUGCAUUACAGCAGCAAAGGAAAAAAAAAUAUUUGGGAGUUAUUAACACAAAAAUCCUGUGAUAUACUAAUACAGCUAACAUUUAGAUUUAUUUCUUAGAAAUCAAAUUUGAGUGUCUUAUUACAGACAUUUCAAAUUACCUUAGGUAGAGUCAUCUUAACGGUUUAUACAUUUAAGUAUCUACUGUAAUUUUAACCUGAGAGAACCUACUUUUUUGAUCGCACCCUCAGCAUGUGGAAGUUUCAGAUCUAUUGACAUACAGUUUACUAUAUAAACUGUAGAUCGCUAGAAAUCAGGAUACAGAAAUUAAGACAGAAUUUUCUCCUCACAUAUAAUAUGCAAUGUUUCCAAAAUUUGUGUUUUAUAGUAGAAACUUACUUUAAAAUAUUAAUAUGGAGUUAAAGUAUUAUAAUAUGAAGAUCAUUGUAAUUAAAAAAAAAAAAAAAUCCCUCUUACUGGAGCUCCCAUCAUGGCUUGGUGGUAACAAACCCGACUGGUAUCCAGGAGGAUGCAGGUUCAAUCCCUGGUCUCACUCAGUGGGUUAAGGAUCCUGCGUUGCUGU